AGAGCGCAGAGCCAGCCGAAGGCGCCGCGCCGGCUCGGGCUCCGCCGCCGACACCCGGCUGCUGAGGUCGCCGCGAGGGUUCGAGGACGCCUGCUCACUGCGUGGCUUCUCCCGGCCAGCUGUGCAGGCGGCUGGACCAGCAGCAGCGGCGAGGACUCGAGCGCGGGCUGCAGCAGCGACACCAUGGACCUGUCCUUUAUGGCCGCACAGCUGCCCAUGAUGGGAGGCGCCUUCAUGGACUCGCCCAACGAGGACUUCAGCACUGAGUACUCCCUCUUCAACUCCUCCAACAACGUCCACGCCGCCUCCAACGGCCAGGGCCAGCCGGAGGAGCCCCCGAGGUCCUCCAACGACGCCGUCCUGCUCUGGAUCGCCAUCAUAGCGACGCUGGGGAACAUCGUGGUGGUGGGCGUGGUGUAUGCCUUCACCUUCUGAGCCGCGGGAGCUCCGGGACGGCUCACCCUGCGCCGGGCUCACAGCCAGCCGGGCGCGGUCACCUUGGCCCCUGGCCGCACCCACGUUCUAGAACCAGGCGUUCUGACCCAGGCACACCGCCCCUCCAAGGGGAGCCACCAUGUGUCUGGAUGUUCCCCCAGCAGCCCUGAUCUCAGAUUCUCCACGCUGUGGUCCAGCUGAUCCAGACGAUAAGGGGUCACAGGUCUCCAGCUCCUGGAGACAUGAGGGGGCCAAGCCUUGGAGGAGCAGAGUGGGGAGUUCUUGAAAGUGCAUUCCAAGGACAUGCGGCUGGAGGGAACGGCCAGUUUGGUUUGAUGACACGGAUAUGGUUGGAUGAUCAGUUGCUGGAAGACAGCGGUCACCGCUGUGUCUUGUUUUGAUGCAGACUUAGCACACCUGAGCGUGAGGGCACGUGCAGCCCUCCAAACUGGAGUGUGCUUGCCCCCCGUCUGGUGUUCUGAUCAGCCCCUCGGAAUAUUGGUGGCAGUCCCUUGAAGGGACCUAGAACAUUCUUCACUUGACUUAGAAAUGGCAACGUUGUUAUCAGACACCUGACCCUUUGUGAAACCCAAGGAUGAGGAGUUACUGGUGACGUGGAUUUUGGGGGUGGUGGUAGCAGUGGUUUUUAUCUGUGGGGUGGACACUCUUCUUUUGAAAGAGAGCAGAAGGUUACCUUGAAAAAUUAGGUCUGCCAAGCCGAUACCUCUCUGGCCACCCGCCGAAGAUGCUCUUUCUUCUCUGAGAAAUCACAGAGCUUUAGAGAUGAAGGAGGCGUGUGUGCACCUCGUUGUUUGGCAGGGAGAGGAGGAGGGGCAGGGCUGCCUGUGGUCCCAGGCACAUUAAGGCAGGGAUCAGAGUGGGAGGGAUAUUUUCUGCCUGUCCUCUCUCAGGGCUGCCUGUGCCCCAGCUAAGCGCUGUCUGGAUCAGAUUCCUGGCUCUCAGCUGCCUUGAGGAGCCUAUCCAGAGGGUCCUGAAGCUGUGAGCAGGGUGGGCGGGGCGCUAAGACACCCUCGUGCUAGACUCAGUUUGGCUACUGUAUGUUCUUGCAGGGGUGAGUGUCUUCUGCCCGAGUCGGUUUCCUGACUCGCUUGGAAGUCAGUGGCUGGGGGGCUGCAAAUCUGGGAGCCGCCUCACUGUUGAGACCAGAGCAGGUUGGGAUGUGCCAGGGCCAGGGUGGGGGCAGAGGAGGGGGAGUGGGCAGGAUCAGAACAGGCUCACUUCUCAUCCAUCCUCAGGCAAGUUCAGGGCCCAGAGCCCCGCUUCUCGAGACAGCCCUCCCUGUGCCCCCAAGGGCGCCAGGAGCUCAGACAUGGGCUCGCUUGCCCACAGGCCAGGAGUGGGUUUUUCCCUGGCUUCCUCCCUGCACUGCACAAAAGAAAAGAGUUGGCGGAGUUCCCGCGGUGGCUCACUAGGUUAAGAACCCAACUAGUAUCCCUGAGAAUGUGGGUUUAAUCCCUGGCCUCGCUCAGUGGGUUAAGCAUUCAGCUUUGCUUCAGGCUGUGGUGUAGGUCACAGAUGUGGCUCAGAUCUGGCGUUGCUGUGACUGUGGCCCAGGCCGGCAGCCGCAGCUCCAAUUCCACCCCACCCCAGCCUGGAAACUUCCAUAAGCCUCGGGUGUCACCGUAAAAAGAAAAAAGAAAAAAGAAAUAAAAUAGAUGGCACGAACUCCCCCUCUGUAGCUGACAAAGUUAAAAGACUGGUAAAGAAAGCCUAAUGCAUAUUCGGGGACAGUGGCCAAAAGGCUGAAUUUCUCCCUGUGGCCUCAGGAGAAAUGAGUGUCCUUGUUGACAGGCAAAGGGACAUCUGAAUUGUCCAGAGGCAGCGACUCGUCCCUGGAAGCCUGGCGCUGAGCUGCUGUGAUAACAGGAUUAUCAGCCCGACCUCCAGACAGCACUGGCAAACGCUGCCAGCUCCUCUGGGCCACAUCUGUCACUGCCGCCUGUGUCCCUCCGCACACGCCUCAGCCCCAGGGGAAGUCACAAGCAUAGAGAGCUAGUGUGACCUCUGCGGAGCACAAGGAGGGAUGUGGCCCCUCUUCCUGGACUCCUUCUGGAAUCACUAAUGGGCCCUGCUGUCUGCAGGCGGGACAGGGUGGUGGCCGUGGCAAGCAUGGUCAGGUGUUUUAGGGACCUUCUUGUCCAAACGUGCCCUCACGGGGAUCUCAGUGACCUGCUCAAGGUCCCUCCAGCCCCAGCUCCAGUGGUUUCUUUAACUCAUUCCCCAGUCGCUCAAGGAACAGGAUCACAGGGCACGUUAGGUUUCCAGCGGGCGUGAGCCGCCCCCUCCCUCCUGCCCAAGUUGGGGUUCUGUCCUGGCUGUUCAGUGAAGGCCACGAGAGCGGACCUCCUCGCUGGAGUCUUGUGUCCAAGCCCUGUACCAGGUUUACUCCUUCCAAGCUCAGAGCACCUUUGCUCCAAGACACAGGUCAAGAGCCAGAAACUCGGAGCAUCGGAAUAACUUGGCCGAGGCCACACAGCGCCAACGUGAUGCGCAGGUUGAACCUGAGCCUUACGGUUCUGAAGCCAGGCUCUUUCAGGAACACAUGCUUCUCUGCAUGGCCAGAGAAGUUUCCAGAGACCAGAUUUCUCAGGACACAUGCAGAAGGGUCCUGGAGCCCCACAGAGGGGCCUCCACAAGGCACGAGGUUCACGCAGCCAGAGUAGAUGACAGCCCUGGGAUGGCCUGUGUUGCAGGCUGGGCCCCCGCCCUGGCUUCUGGUCUUGCGCCGAGCCCCAGGGUGCUCCCGAGCUGGCGGGGAUGAAUGCUCCUGUCUCAGACCCCAGCCUGGGGCACCGAUGUGGCUUCUCCUGGGUGGGGCUGGCCCCUGAGCCCACCUUGGCUUGAUGAGCUGGGGCUGUAGCAGGAGGGGCUUGUCUCUUUAGCAUCUGCUCCUCAGAGAAGGGGUCCUACAUUUGCUGGAACGUUCCCUGUGCUUGCUGCUCUGCACGCCCCUCCGUUGCCCCUCUGCAAACCGUGAUCCCGCACCUGUGUGUUCACUUGCUUUAUGAGGUUAGGAGCUGCGGUCCCAGGGGCCUUGGAGGAGUGGCCAGGCCAGACGACACUUCAGCUGGUGGUGUCCCAAGGGGAUUCUGCCUCCAGAGGCACCUCGAGAGACCAGCACUCUGCGGGGUCCUUCUCUUUGGUUCCUGCCCCUCCCCUUUUCCAAGGGAUCAAGGUCAGGAAGCAAAUGAGAUUCCCUGGUCCCCAUCUCCCUCCCACCCCCCACCCAGAGAAAGAUGCUUUAAUGUCCUUUCAGGCGUCCCCCAGGAGCCGAGGAAGAAAGGCAGGGAAGACAGGCUAGGACCACUUGGCUGGAGAAACAGCAGGCCAUUUUCCAGCUGGAUCUAAAUGAAAGAUUUGGCAGCCUGCCAGCCCACAGCAUCCGCCAGAAUCCCUCCCUGGGGACUGGCGAGACUCAGCCGCUAUCUGCAGUGCCGCCUGCGCCUUCCAGACGAAGGGUCCUCCCUCCUCCCUGAGCUUGACCUUCCCUCUGUUAUUAGCAGUGAUGUCACUAACAAUGAUUAUUCUUCUGCUGUUAUUAUCAUGCACCUUCUUCGUGCUGUGUGCCGUUCGUAUCUCAUUUAUUUCUCAAAUCACCCCUCGGGGGCAGGAGAGAGGUGCACAGCAGUUACGUUUUUUUUUUUUCUGUUGAGAAAGAGGAGGCCAGGCUAUAUGCCUGAGAACCUACGGCUGAGGAGCCGUGAUUCAGACCCGGCCCUGUUGGCUCUGCAGGUUGCACGGUUACCCUGCAUCUCCCUGCAUCCACACCCCCACCCCCCCCGUGAUGAGCCCUCUGGGAUGGACCAGCCCAGGACGGGCCUCUGAGGCUGGGCUGUUCUGGUCCUGGAGAGCGAAUUUCGAGGGUGAGUCCCAGAAAGGAGCUGGCUGCAGUUCCCAGGGAUUUAUCAGUCUGAGAACCUCGCAAUGGCAAGAGGUCUUAGAGGGCAUUUAAUCAGGACCUAAACUUUCAGGAGGGCAGCUGGGACCACGUGGUAAAUUAGUGGAGAGCGGACAGAGCUUCGGAUGCCUGGCCCAGCUUGCUGUGCAUUUGCUAGGGAACAGGGGUAUGGCCGUGGGGGUGGGGGGCUGGAUUUCCAGCCCCAGCCCUGGGACAGGCAUUGUGUUCUCUGCCAGAUGUCACCUGGCCCCCUUCACCAUGUCCUGGGAAAAUGCCCUAUGUCCCCAAGUCCUGGGUGGGCAGGGCUGCCGUGACCUGGAAGCCCUAGGAGGGGUGCUCCUGGCCAAACCCCAAAAGUCCAGGGUCCACCCGGCCCACCUCCUUUGCCCCAUCUGCUCCACGGGCCCCUGACCUCGGUCGUGUGGUGAUCAAGACAGGCGAGAGGCGGGGUGACUGAGCCCUGAGGGCCCACAGGGACAGAGUCUGUCACCUCCAAGCGGAAAAAGAGGCUACUCCAAGAAGUCCAAGUGAUCAGAAUUCAGUGGUGGCCUGGUGUCCUCAGCAAGUGACUUCUGAGAUUAGACUUUGAGUAUUUUCUUUCCCUUUUUUUAUGGGGGAGGGGGGAGCAGGGACACGGGCCAGGGACAAAGCAGUGCAAACCUUUGCGAAUAAAGGGAGGAAAGGCCCCCUGCCACCGCCCCUGAGAGAGAAAACAAAACGGCAGUUACAAUGGAGUGGUCAAAAGUACCCAAAAUUGGAGUUCCCGUUGUGGCUCAGCAGGUUAAAAACCCAAUGUAGAGUCCUUGAAGAGGCAGGUUCGAUCCCUGGCCUCGCUCAGUGGGUUAAGGAGCCAGCAUUGCUGAGAGUCCUGUGGGGUAGGUCGCAGGUGUGGCUCAGAUCUGGAGUGGCUGUGGCUGUGGCGUAGGCUGGCAGCUGCCCCUCCGAUUCAAACCACAGCCCAGGAACCCCCAUAUGCCACAGGUGCAGCUGUAAAAAGAAACAGGGAAAAAAUACCUACAAUUGACUACAUAAAUUUUGGAAUAUAAUUCUGCAUUGUUUGUACUGAGUCACGGUAAAAGUCAUACAUUUUUGGUAAAGAUAGAUCAUAAAAGCAGAGAAAGCCCUAGGGAGGCUGGAAGAGGCUACACCCUUCCGGGGGGGGAGGGCAGUAGCUGGCUCCUGCCCUUUGAGCAUCGUGCAGGCUCGCACCUGCCCAGACCUCUCCAACCAAGCCUUUGACGAGGUCCACUCUCGGCUCCUGGCUUCUUGUGCAACCUGUCUUGCUGCCUUCUGGGAGGAGGGUUGAGACUCGUGCUGGCUUGGGAAUAAAUCCUGCCAGUCAGAGGAGGCACAUUUGCAAGGAAUUCAUGUCCCACUGCUGCCAGGGAACUCCAGAGCCCUCCUUCCACACCAAGCUCCCUCCACGUUGCUGAGCAGCCCCCAGGGGCCCCCGUGUCUGUCUCCUCAGCCAUCUGACAAACUGGACAACCACCAAAUGUACAGUCAUAUCGCUGUCCCAGCAAUCCAGAUAGUUCUGACUGGGGCCCUGGAAACUGGCAGGAAGGGCCCUUCCAAAUGAUUAUACUUGAGGAGUUCCCAUCGUGGCUCAGCGGUAACAAACCCAACUAGUGUCCAUGAGGAUGCAGGUUCAAUCCCUGGCCUUGCUCAGCAGGUUAAGGAUCUGGCACUGCUAUGGCUGUGGUGUAGGUUGGCAGCUCAGCUCAGAUUCAACCCCUAGCCUGGGAAAUUCCGUAUGAUGCAGGUGUGGCCCUAAAACGACAAAAAAAAAAAAAAAAA
rnacentral:lncRNA from 1 species